AACGAACGUUAGCGGCGCGCCUAAUACAUGCAAGUCGAGCGAGAAAGGGAUUCGUCCCCAGUAAAGCGGCGCACGGGUGAGUAACACGUAGGUCAUCUACCCUCGGGUGGUGGAUAACAUUCCGAAAGGAGUGCUAAUACAGCAUAACACCGCAAGGACAAAGCGGGCCUCUCUAUAGAAGCUCGCGCCUGCGGAUGAGCCUGCGGCCCAUCAGCUAGUUGGCAGUGUAGAAGACUACCAAGGCUAAGACGGGUAGCUGGUCUGAGAGGAUGAACAGCCACACUGGAACUGAGACACGGUCCAGACUCCUACGGGAGGCAGCAGUAGGGAAUCUUGCGCAAUGGGCGAAAGCCUGACGCAGCGACGCCGCGUGAGUGAUGAAGGCCUUCGGGUUGUAAAGCUCUGUGGGGAGAGAAGAAUAAGUGCAAGCUAAUACUUUGCAUGAUGACGGUAUCUCCUUGGCAAGCACCGGCUAACUCUGUGCCAGCAGCCGCGGUAA
rnacentral:rRNA from 1 species